AUCCAACUGACGAGUUGCAAAUAGGAUGAAAUGGCGCGCAUCCUGGAU
rnacentral:hammerhead_ribozyme from 1 species